UACGUAGGUGGCAAGCGUUGUCCGGAUUUACUGGGCGUAAAGAGCGCGCAGGCGGCCAAGUCAGUCGAAUGUGAAAGCCCCCGGCUCAACUGGGGAGGGUCAUUCGAUACUGCUCGGCUCGAAGACAGGAGAGGGAAGUGGAAUUCCCGGUGUAGUGGUGAAAUGCGUAGAUAUCAGGAGGAACACCAGUGGCGAAGGCGGCGCUCUGGGCUGGCACUGACGCUGAGGAGCGAAAGCGUGGGGAGCGAACAGG
rnacentral:rRNA from 1 species